UUGCACAGUGAACACCCAAUUGUGCUUCAUAGUUCCCUUGGCUUUGACUCUGUGCUAGAGCAAAGUCUGUUCUCUGCAUUGAAAGGACUGUUUAUCCUUUUAAAUAUAUUCAGAAAGUCAGCACAUUA
rnacentral:snoRNA from 1 species